GAGGGGCGUGGGCGAAGUUCGUCCGCCGGACUCGGAAUGGCCCCAGACUUUGCGGGCGGCCUCCAUGUGCCAAAAAUAGGCCACGGGCACAGCCGCGCCCAAAAAUGAGCGCCCGAAGGUCGGGCCGCCAACACCCCCCAGCGGAAAAAUGGCCAAAAAACGGGUGUGCUAUAGCCUUGGCGGGGGGCGUGGGCGAAGUUCGUCCGCCGGACUCGGAAUGGCCCCAGACUUUGCGGGCGGCCUCCGUGUGCCAAAAAUAGGCCACAGGCACAGCCGCGCCCAAAAAUGAGCGCCCGAAGGUCGGGGCGCCAACACCCCCCAGCGGAAAAAUGGCCAAAAAACGGGUGGGCUAUAGCCUUGGCGGGGGGCGUGGGCGAAGUUUGUCCGCCGGACUUGGAAUGGCCCCAGACUUUGCGGGCGGCCUCCGUGUGCCAAAAAUAGGCCACGGGCACAGCCGCGCCCAAAAAUGAGCAUCCGAAGGUCGGGGCGCCAACACCCCCCAGCGGAAAAAUGGCCAAAAAACGUGUGGGCUAUAGCCUUGGUGGGGGGCGUGGGCGAAGUUCGUCCGCCGGACUCGGAAUGGCCCCAGACUUUGCGGGCGGCCUCCGUGCGCCAAAAAUAGUCCACGGGCACAGCCGCGCCCAAAAACGAGCGCCCGAAGGUCGGGGCGCCAACACCCCACAGCGGAAAAUUGGCCGAAAAACGGGUGGCCUAUAGCCUUGGUGGGGGGCGUGGGCGAAGUUCGUCCGCCGGACUCGGAAUGGCCCCAGACUUUACUGGCGGCCUCAGUGUGCCAAAAAUAGGCCACGGGCUUAGCCGCGCCCAAAAAUGAGCUCCCGAAGGUCGGGUUCCAACACCCCCCAGCGGAAAAUUGGCCAAAAAACGUGUGGGCUAUAGCCUUGAUGGGGGGCGUGGGCGAAGUUCGUCCGCCGGACUCGGAAUGGCUCCAGACUUUGCGGGCGGCCUCCGUGUGCAAAAAAUAGGCCACGGGCACAGCCGCGCCCAAAAAUGAGCGCCCGAAGGUCGGGCCGCCAACACCCCCCAGCGGAAAAAUGGCCAAAAAACGGGUGGGCUAUAGCCUUUGGCGGGGGGCGUGGGCGAAGUUCGUCCGCCGGACUCGGAAUGGCCCCAGACUUUGCGGGCGGCCUCCGUGUGCCAAAAAUAGGCCACGGGCACAGCCGCGCCCAAAAAUGAGCGCCCGAAGGUCGGGGCGCCAACACCCCCCAGCGGAAAAAUGGCCAAAAAACGGGUGGGCUAUAGCUUGGAGAGGCGUGUGGGCAAAGUCGUCCGCCGGACUCGGAAUGGCCCCAGACUUUGCGGGCGGCUUCCGUGUGCAAAAAAUAGGCCACGCGCACAGCCGCGCCCGAAGGUCGGGCCGCCAACACCCCCCAGCGGAAAAAUGGCCAAAAAACGGGUGGGCUAUAGCCUUUGGCGGGGGGCGUGGGCGAAGUUCGUCCGCCGGACUCGGAAUGGGCCCAGACUUUGCGGGCGGCCUCCGUGUGCCAAAAAUAGGCCACGGGCACAGCCGCGCCCAAAAAUGAGCGCCCGAAGGUCGGGGCGCCAGCACCCCCCAGCGGAAAAAUGGCCAAGAAACGGGUGUGCUAUAGCCUUGGCGGGGGGCGUGGGCGAAGUUCGUCCGCCGGACUCGGAAUGGCCCCAGACUUUGCGGGCGGCCUAGGUGUGCCAAAAAUAGGCCACGGGCACAGCCGCACCCAAAAAUGAGCGCCCGAAGGUCGGGGCGCCAACACCCCCCAGCGGAAAAAUGGCCAAGAAAUGGGUGGGCUAUAGCCUUGGCGGGGGGCGUGGGCGAAGUUCGUCCGCCGGACUCGGAAUGGCCCCAGACUUUGCGGGCGGCCUCCGUGUGCCAAAAAUAGGCCACGGGCACAGCCGCGCCCAAAAAUGAGCGCCCGAAGGUCGGGGCGCCAACACCCCCCCGCGGAAAAAUGGCCAAAAAAUGGGUGGGCUAUAGCCUUGGCGGGGGGCGUGGGCGAAGUUCGUCCGCCGGACUCGGAAUGGCCCAAGACUUUGCGGGCGGCCACCGUGCGCCAAAAAUAGUCCACGGGCACAGCCGCGCCCAAAAACGAGCGCCCGAAGGUCGGGGCGCCAACACCCCCCAGCGGAAAAUUGGCCGAAAAACGGGUGGCCUAUAGCCUUGGUGGGGGGCGUGGGCGAAGUUCGUCCGCCGGACUCGGAAUGGCCCCAGACUUUACGGGCGGCCUCCGUGUGCCAAAAAUACGCCACGGGCACAGCCGCGCCCAAAAAUGAGCUCCCGAAGGUCGGGUUCCAACACCCCCCAGCGGAAAAUUGGCCAAAAAACGUGUGGGCUAUAGCCUUGGUGGGGGGCGUGGGCGAAGUUUGUCCGCCGGACUCGGAAUGGCCCCAGACUUUGCGGGCGGCCACCGUGCGCCAAAAAUAGUCCACGGGCACAGCCGCGCCCAAAAACGAGCGCCCGAAGGUCGGGGCGCCAACACCCCCCAGCGGAAAAUUGGCCGAAAAACGGGUGGCCUAUAGCCUUGGUGGGGGGCGUGGGCGAAGUUCGUCCGCCGGACUC
rnacentral:lncRNA from 1 species